rnacentral:rRNA from 1 species
GCUUACUCCUAACCCAAUGUGAACCAUACCAAACUGUUGCCUCGGCGGGGUCACGCCCCGGGUGCGUCGCAGCCCCGGAACCAGGCGCCCGCCGGAGGGACCAACCAAACUCUUUUCUGUAGUCCCCUCGCGGACGUUAUUUCUUACAGCUCUGAGCAAAAAUUCAAAAUGAAUCAAAACUUUCAACAACGGAUCUCUUGGUUCUGGCAUCGAUGAAGAACGCAGCGAAAUGCGAUAAGUAAUGUGAAUUGCAGAAUUCAGUGAAUCAUCGAAUCUUUGAACGCACAUUGCGCCCGCCAGUAUUCUGGCGGGCAUGCCUGUCCGAGCGUCAUUUCAACCCUCGAACCCCUCCGGGGGGUCGGCGUUGGGGAUCGGGAACCCCUAAGACGGGAUCCCGGCCCCGAAAUACAGUGGCGGUCUCGCCGCAGCCUCUCCUGCGCAGUAGUUUGCACAACUCGCACCGGGAGCGCGGCGCGUCCACGUCCGUAAAACACCCAACUUCUGAAAUGUUGACCUCGGAUCAGGUAGGAAUACCCGCUGAACUUAAGCAUAUCAAUAAGCGRGAGAA